rnacentral:lncRNA from 1 species
AUGACUGAAGGCACUUUUAUGAUACUCUUCUUUUAUGAAGUUUCUCUCACUCUGCCCUCUCCCUCUAUCCUUCACUCCACCUCUCACUCUCUCCCCUCUCCCUCUAUCCUUCACUCCACCUCUCACUCUCUCCCCUCUCCCUCUAUCCUUUACUCCACCUCUCACUCUCUCCCCUCUCCCUCUAUCCUUCACUCCACCUCUCCCCUCUCCCUCUAUCCUUCACUCCACCUCUCCCCUCUCCCUCUAUCCUUCACUCCCUCUCCCCUCUCCCUCUAUCCUUCACUCCACCUCUCACUCUCUCCCCUCUCCCUCUAUCCUUUACUCCACCUCUCACUCUCUCCCCUCUCCCUCUAUCCUUCACUCCACCUCUCCCCUCUCCCUCUAUCCUUCACUCCACCUCUCCCCUCUCCCUCUAUCCUUCACUCCACCUCUCGCUCUCUCCUCUCCCUCUAUCCUUCACUCCACCUCUCGCUCUCUCCUCUCCCUCUAUCCUUCACUCCACCUCUCGCUCUCUCCUCUCCCUCUAUCCUUCACUCCACCUCUCGCUCUCUCCCCUCCCUCUAUCCUUCACUCCACCUCUCACUCUCUCCCCUCUCCCUCUAUCCUUCACUCCACCUCUCGCUCUCUCCUCUCCCUCUAUCCUUCACUCCACCUCUCGCUCUCUCCUCUCCCUCUAUCCUUCACUCCACCUCUCGCUCUCUCCUCUCCCUCUAUCCUUCACUCCACCUCUCGCUCUCUCCCCUCCCUCUAUCCUUCACUCCACCUCUCUCUCUCCUCUCCCUCUAUCUUUCACUCCACCUCUCGCUCUCCCCUCUCCCUCUAUCCUUCACUCCACCUCUCGCUCUCCCCUCUCCCUGUAUCCUUCACUCCACCUCUCGCUCUCUCCCCUCCCUCUAUCCUUCACUCCACCUCUCUCUCUCUCCUCUCCCUCUAUCCUUCACUCCACCUCUCGCUCUCUCCUCUCCCUCUAUCCUUCACUCCACCUCUCGCUCUCUCCCCUCCCUCUAUCCUUCACUCCACCUCUCGCUCUCUCCCCUCCCUCUAUCCUUCACUCCACCUCUCGCUCUCUCCCCUCCCUCUAUCCUUCACUCCACCUCUCGCUCUCUCCCCUCCCUCUAUCCUUCACUCCACCUCUCGCGCUCUCCCCUCCCUCGAGCCUUCACUCCACCUCUCGCGCUCUCCCCUCCCUCGAGCCUUCACUCCACCUCUCGCGCUCUCCCCUCCCUCGAGCCUUCACUCCACCUCUCGCUCUCUCCCCUCCCUCGAGCCUUCACUCCACCUCUCGCUCUCUCCCCUCCCUCUAUCCCCCUGACCUUGACAGUAGCACAGGUCAGACAGCUUGUCACGACAAAUGGGUUCCAGUUAUGA